rnacentral:rRNA from 1 species
CAGUAGCCGCGGUAAUACGGAGGGGGCUAGCGUUGUUCGGAAUUACUGGGCGUAAAGCGCACGUAGGCGGUUAUUCAAGUCAGAGGUGAAAGCCCGGGGCUCAACCCCGGAACUGCCUUUGAAACUAGAUGACUGGAAUCUUGGAGAGGUCAGUGGAAUUCCGAGUGUAGAGGUGAAAUUCGUAGAUAUUCGGAAGAACACCAGUGGCGAAGGCGACUGACUGGACAAGUAUUGACGCUGAGGAGCGAAAGCGUGGGGAGCGAACAGGAUUAGAUACCCCAGUAGUCCCUGUCUCUUAUAC